rnacentral:rRNA from 1 species
ACGGCUCAGUAACACGUAGUCAACAUGCCCAGGGGACGUGGAUAACCUCGGGAAACUGAGGAUAAACCGCGAUAAGUCACUACUUCUGGAAUGGGUAAUGACUAAAAUCUACAUGGCCCCUGGAUUGGACUGCGGCCGAUCAGGCUGUUGGUGAGGUAAUGGCCCACCAAACCUGUAACCGGUACGGGCUCUGAGAGGAGGAGCCCGGAGAUGGGCACUGAGACAAGGGCCCAGGCCCUAUGGGGCGCAGCAGGCGCGAAACCUCUGCAAUAGGCGAAAGCCUGACAGGGUUACUCUGAGUGAUUUCCGUUAAGGAGAUCUUUUGGCACCUCUAAAAAUGGUGCAGAAUAAGGGGUGGGCAAGUCUGGUGUCAGCCGCCGCGGUAAUACCAGCACCCCGAGUGGUCGGGACGUUUAUUGGGCCUAAAGCAUCCGUAGCCGGUUCUACAAGUCUUCCGUUAAAUCCACCUGCUUAACAGAUGGGCUGCGGAAGAUACUAUGGAGCUAGGAGGCGGGAGAGGCAAGCGGUACUCGAUGGGUAGGGGUAAAAUCCGUUGAUCCAUUGAAGACCACCAGUGGCGAAGGCGGCUUGCCAGAACGCGCUCGACGGUGAGGGAUGAAAGCUGGGGGAGCAAGCCGGAUUAGAUACCCGGGUAGUCCCAGCUGUAAACGAUGCAGACUCGGUGAUGAGUUGGCUUUUUGCCAACUCAGUGCCGCAGGGAAGCCGUUAAGUUUGCCGCCUGGGGAGUACGGUCGCAAGACUGAAACUUAAAGGAAUUGGCGGGGGAGCAC